rnacentral:rRNA from 1 species
AGAGUUGACGUAGUCGGCUAACUAAGUUUGCCAAAGUCGCUUAAUUGUGGCAGCGGCAGAUGUAUGUUGCCUAUGGCUGCGCUGACAGCGCUGGCUAUGCGUUCCGAACCGUUUGCGUUGCCCACUUCGGUGGUGUCUUGUUUGCGGGUAGGUUUGUCGUAGCUAGUGUUUUAUCCUGCUUGCAGGGUGUCAGUGUGAAAGUCGACCACCUCUCCGACCCGUCUUGAAACACGGACCGAGGAGUGUAACUUGUACGCGAGUCAAAGGGUGGAAAACCCCAUGGCGAAAUGAAAGUAAAGGUCGGUUAACCGGCUGACAUGGGAUUCGCCUUUCGAGGUGACGCACCAUGGCCCUGUCUCGUCUGCUUGCAGAUGGGCAGCGGUAGAGCGUACAGGUUGCGACCCGAAAGAUGGUGAACUAUGCCUGAGCAGGACGAAGU